UUCCGGUUGAUCCUGCCGGACCCGACUGCUAUCAGAGUGGGACUAAGCCAUGCGAGUCGACGUAGCAAUGCGUGGCGAACGGCUCAGUAACACGUAGUCAACAUGCCCAGGGGACGUGGAUAACCUCGGGAAACUGAGAAUAAACCACGAUAGGUCACGAUUUCUGGAAUGGAUCAUGGCAUAAAUCUACAUGGCCCCUGGAUUGGACUGCGGCCGAUCAGGCAGUUGGUGAGGUAAUGGCCCACCAAACCUAUAACCGGUACGGGCUCUGAGAGGAGAAGCCCGGAGAUGGGCACUGAGACAAGGGCCCAGGCCCUGUGGGGCGCAGCAGGCGCGAAACCUCUGCAAUAGGCGAAAGCCUGACAGGGUUACUCUGAGUGAUUUCCGCUAAGGGGAUCUUUUGGCACCUCUAAAAAUGGUGCAGAAUAAGGGGUGGGCAAGUCUGGUGUCAGCCGCCGCGGUAAUACCAGCACCCCGAGUGGUCGGGACGAUUAUUGGGCCUAAAGCAUCCGUAGCCGGUUCUGCAAGUCUUCCGUUAAAUCCAGCCGCUCAACGGAUGGGCCGCGGAGGAUACUAUAGGACUAGGAGGCGGGAGAGGCAAGCGGUACUCAGUGGGUAGGGGUAAAAUCCUUUGAUCCAUUGAAGACCACCAGUGGCGAAGGCGGCUUGCCAGAACGCGCUCGACGGUGAGGGAUGAAAGCUGGGGGAGCAAACCGGAUUAGAUACCCGGGUAGUCCCAG
rnacentral:rRNA from 1 species